rnacentral:rRNA from 1 species
CCUACGGGAGGCAGCAGUGGGGAAUAUUGCACAAUGGGCGCAAGCCUGAUGCAGCCAUGCCGCGUGUGUGAAGAAGGCCUUAGGGUUGUAAAGCACUUUCAGCGAGGAGGAAGGCAUCAUACUUAAUACGUGUGGUGAUUGACGUUACUCGCAGAAGAAGCACCGGCUAACUCCGUGCCAGCAGCCGCGGUAAUACGGAGGGUGCAAGCGUUAAUCGGAAUUACUGGGCGUAAAGCGCACGCAGGCGGUUGGUUAAGUCAGAAGUGCAAGCCCCGCGCUUAACGUUGGAACUGCGUUUGAAGCUGGCAAGCUAGAGUCGUGUAGAGGGGGGUAGAAUUCCAGGUGUGGCGGAGAAAUGCGUAGAGAUCUGGACGAAUACCGGUGGCGAAGGCGGCCCCCUGGACAAAGACUGACGCUCAGCUCCGAAAGCGUGGGGAGCAAACAGGAUUAGAAACCCUUGUAGUC